AGCGAAGGUGGAGGACAUAGCUCCCCACACUGAAUCUGAUGAAAUGUUAAGACCCAUCAUAUCAACUGAUGAUGAGUGGGUGAAAUCUUUCUCGAACAAUAUGUAUGCUGAUGCAUUUUUAUGAAAUUUUAGUCAGUCUGAAGGUGGGCCUGCAACAACGACACCAUGGCCUGAACUUAAAUCAUUUCACUCCUCUUAGUGUGGUCCAGCGUCAUCAUGCUUGCCAUCGCCCAGACCAUUAACCACACACUUGUCUCAGAAGUCAAUGCUACAAUAGCGGGCUAUGUAUACUUACCAACCAGCUAGUAGCAAUUUCCGUGCCUAUCUACUACUUUAGGCCAGUCUCUGAUUAACUACCAGUUGUUGACGUUGACUGCUAUUCAAGUGAACAAAAAUGCCACGAGUUUGUGUUAACAGUGCUGACACAUUUUGCUAUGUGUGUGGAGAAGUGAUAUUUGCUUCACAAAAACAGCAAAUAACUCCAUUGAUUAU